rnacentral:rRNA from 1 species
CACGUAGGGUGCGAGCGUUGUCCGGAAUUAUUGGGCGUAAAGAGCUCGUAGGCGGUGUGUCGCGUCGGCCGUGAAAACCUGCAGCUUAACUGUGGGCUUGCGGUCGAUACGGGCAUCACUGGAGUUCGGCAGGGGAGACUGGAAUUCCUGGUGUAGCGGUGAAAUGCGCAGAUAUCAGGAGGAACACCGGUGGCGAAGGCGGGUCUCUGGACAGUUCCUGACGGCUGAGGCACGGAAGGCCAGGGGAGCAAACGGG